rnacentral:misc_RNA from 1 species
GAUGAAGAACGUAGCGAAAUGCGAUAAGUAAUGUGAAUUGCAGAAUUCAGUGAAUCAUCGAAUCUUUGAACGCACAUUGCGCCCGCCAGUAUUCUGGCGGGCAUGCCUGUUCGAGCGUCAUUUCAACCCUCAGGCCCCCAGUGCCAGGUGUUGGGGAUCGGCAGCAGGGCGUCAAGCCCGCCGGCCCCGAAAUCUAGUGGCGGUCUCGCUGUAGUCCUCCUCUGCGUAGUAGCACAACCUCGCAGUUGGAACGCGGCGGUGGCCAUGCCGUUAAACACCCCACUUCUGAAAGUUGACCUCGGAUCAGGUAGGAAUACCCGCUGAACUUAAGCAUAUCAAUAAGCGGAGGA